AUGAUGGUGAAGGACAAGACGUCGGCUUUGGAGCGCGCGAAGAAGGCGGUGGUGCAGCGGAAGGGGAAGAAGUCCGCUCGGGGCAGAUCUUCCUCGAGGACUGCUCUGCCCAGGGAUUGGAUCCAGGGCGACUGGAUGCCCUCGGUGAUUCGGCAGGAAGAUCUUGACGACAUGGUCGAGGGGGGAGUCAUUCCCCAUGAAGCUGCGCGUCUCCCGGGGAGAGAAGUCGAACCCCAACCUCAUGACGGUGAGUGCGUCCUCCUCGCCACCCAUAUCGAUCGCGGAUUUUCUCUACCUCCUCAUCCUUUUUUCUGGAGCUUUUUGAACUUCUUCGGAGCGCAGCUCCACCAUUUCACUCCCAAUUCCCAUCGUGUACCUUGCGGCUUUCGUUUCCUUGUGCGAAAGUUUCUUGGGUUGCCGCCCUCAUUGGGGACUCUUUAA
rnacentral:rRNA from 1 species